rnacentral:rRNA from 1 species
UGGGGAAUAUUGCACAAUGGGCGCAAGCCUGAUGCAGCGACGCCGCGUGAGGGAUGACGGCCUUCGGGUUGUAAACCUCUUUCAGCACAGACGAAGCGCAAGUGACGGUAUGUGCAGAAGAAGCACCGGCCAACUACGUGCCAGCAGCCGCGGUAAUACGUAGGGUGCGAGCGUUGUCCGGAAUUACUGGGCGUAAAGAGCUCGUAGGUGGUUUGUCGCGUUGUUCGUGAAAACCGGGGCUUAACCCUCGGCGUGCGGGCGAUACGGGCAGACUGGAGUACUGCAGGGGAGACUGGAAUUCCUGGUGUAGCGGUGGAAUGCGCAGAUAUCAGGAGGAACACCGGUGGCGAAGGCGGGUCUCUGGGCAGUAACUGACGCUGAGGAGCGAAAGCGUGGGGAGCGAACAGGAUUAGAUACC